rnacentral:rRNA from 1 species
UGGGCGUAAGGGCUCGUAGGCGGUUCGUCGCGUCCGGUGUGAAAGUCCAUCGCUUAACGGUGGAUCUGCGCCGGGUACGGGCGGGCUGGAGUGCGGUAGGGGAGACUGGAAUUCCCGGUGUAACGGUGGAAUGUGUAGAUAUCGGGAAGAACACCAAUGGCGAAGGCAGGUCUCUGGGCCGUUACUGACGCUGAGGAGCGAAAGCGUGGGGAGCGAACAGGAUUAGAUACCC